rnacentral:lncRNA from 1 species
CAGCAUUUUAUUGUGACCCACAUAGGCCAACUUGGCCUCAAAGACAACUGACUUACCCAUUCACUAGCAACUGUAUGCACAAGGCUAAAUUCUAGAUUCAUCCAAUUACUUUAAAAGGCCCCGUGGGAAUAUACUCAACAACACUGUGUGUUUAUUACAGAGGAUGCUGUGACAUGUGGUUAUUCCUUGAGGAGCAGUGUUUUGUCUAUUUCAUCUGCUCUGGAUAUCUUCCAGUACUGGCAUAUCUUAGGACUGAGCACAGUUUUUCUCUGGAUGGCUUCUAUUCCAUCUAUUUUCCAUUCCUUCAGAGGUUACAAAUAAAGACACUGAUUUCCUUACUCAUAAAAUGAGAGUUUAAUGGCUACGUCACAAGAUAACUGUGAUGACCAUUUCAAAGGAAAUAAAGAAAGCAUUUAGUGCAGCAUGUGGGGGCAUAGUGUAACAUCCAUAAAUGUUCAUUUGCUUAUUUCUUUUUCCAGAUAUGGUCUUGAAGACAUCUUAAAAAAUCCGUUGGACCAGAGUAUAAAGGUGUGUUCCAGAAAAUUAGCCAAUGGCGCCUGCAGUUAUAAAAGAAAGUAUGUUCAAAGAUUUUCAAGAUUAUCUUGGAAUCAUAUGAAAAGAUUUAAAUGCAAAAUCUCCUCCUUGGUAAUGUAUAAGGAACUCCUGUGCUGCUUUGCAUCAUUGCAACAGGUCUUAUACAUAGCCUCAGUUAUAUCA